rnacentral:rRNA from 1 species
UACGGGGGGGGCAAGCGUUGUUCGGAAUUACUGGGCGUAAAGGGCUCGUAGGUGGCCAACUAAGUCAGACGUGAAAUCCCUCGGCUUAACCGGGGAACUGCGUCUGAUACUGGAUGGCUUGAGUUUGGGAGAGGGACGCGGAAUUCCAGGUGUAGCGGUGAAAUGCGUAGAGAUCGGGAAGAACACCGGUGGCGAAAGCGCUCUACUGGACCGUAACUGACACUCAGGGACGAAAGCUAGGGGAGCGAAUGGG